CCAAACCGACUCAGGUGGACGGGGUGAAUAUCCCAAGGCGCGUGAGAGAACCCUGGUUAAGGAACUCUGCAAAUUGACACCGUAACUUCGGGAGAAGGUGUGCCGCUGGCGGUUAGUGACUUCGCGUCACGAAGCUGUCGGUGGUCGCAGUGAAAUGGCGGUUGUGACUGUUUACUAAAAACACAGGACUCUGCGAAGUCGUAAGACGACGUAUUGGGUCUGAUGCCUGCCCGGUGCUGGAAGGUUAAGGGGAUAUGUCAGCGCAAGCGAAGCAUUGAACCGAAGCCCCAGUAAACGGCGGCCGUAACAAUAACGGUCCUAAGGUAGCGAAAUUCCUUGUCGGGUAAGUUCCGACCUGCACGAAGGCAUAACAACAUCCGCACUGUCUCGACCAGGGACUCAGCGAAAUUACAUUGGGGGUGAAGAUGCCCUCUACCCGCGGAAAGACGGAAAGACCCCAUGAACCUUUACUGCAACUUGGCAGUGAUUUUCGGGUUGUUCUGCGUAGGAUAGGUGGGAGGCUUUGAAGCCGGGCUUCCGGGUUCGGCAGAGCCAACGUUGAAAUACCACCCUGAAUAGUCUGGAAAUCUAACCUGCGCCCAUGAUCUGGGCGAGGGACACUGCCUGGUGGGCAGUUUGACUGGGGCGGUCGCCUCCUAAAUUGUAACGGAGGCGUGCGACGGUUCCCUCAGGCUGAUUGGAAACCAGCCGUAGAGUGCAAACGCAUAAGGGAGCUUUACUGCGAGACUGACAAGUCGAACAGUUGCGAAAGCAGGUGUUAGUGAUCCGGUGGUACCACAUGGAAGGGCCAUCGCUCAUCGGAUAAAAGGUACUCUGGGGAUAACAGGCUGAUCGCGCCUGAGAGUUCACAUCGGCGGCGCGGUUUGGCACCUCGAUGUCGGCUCAUCGCAUCCUGGGGCUGGAGCAGGUCCCAAGGGUUUGGCUGUUCGCCAAUUAAAGCGGUACGCGAGCUGGGUUUAAAACGUCGUGAGACAGUUUGGUCCCUAUCUUCCGUGGGCGCAGGACACUUGAGAGGAGCUAUCCAUAGUACGAGAGGACCUGGAUGGACGAACCUCUGGUGCUCCGGUUGUCACGCCAGUGGCAUAGCCGGGUAGCCAUGUUCGGAACAGAUAACCGCUGAAGGCAUAUAAGCGGGAAGCUGGCCUCAAGACUAGGUGUCCCUGACGCAAGUCACUAAAGGCCCCUCGAAGGCUACGAGGUUGAUAGGCUCGGUGUGGAAGCGCUGCGAGGCGUGGAGCUAACGAGUACUAAUAGGCCGUGCGACUUGACCCC
rnacentral:rRNA from 1 species